rnacentral:tRNA from 1 species
ACGGGCAUAGCUCAACGGUAGAGCGCUUGCUUUCUAAGCAAGAGGUAGCUUGUUCAAUUCAGCAACCCGGGUCA